UACGGAGGGUGCAAGCGUUAUCCGGAUUCACUGGGUUUAAAGGGUGCGUAGGCGGGUAUGUAAGUCAGGGGUGAAAUCCCCGAGCUUAACUCGGGAACUGCCAUUGAUACUAUAUAUCUUGAAUACUGUGGAGGUUAGCGGAAUAUGUCAUGUAGCGGUGAAAUGCUUAGAUAUGACAUAGAACACCAAUUGCGAAGGCAGCUGGCUACACAAAUAUUGACACUGAUGCACGAAAGCGUGGGGAUCAAACAGG
rnacentral:rRNA from 1 species